rnacentral:rRNA from 1 species
UACGUAGGUGGCAAGCGUUGUCCGGAUUUACUGGGCGUAAAGAGCGCGCAGGCGGUCGUUCAAGUCGCGUGUGAAAGCCCCCGGCCCAACUGGGGAGGGUCACGCGAUACUGAUCGACUCGAAGGCAGGAGAGGGUAGUGGAAUUCCCGGUGUAGUGGUGAAAUGCGCAGAUAUCAGGAGGAACACCGGUGGCGAAGGCGGAUCUCUGGGCCAUUACUGACGCUGAGGAGCGAAAGCGUGGGGAGCGAACAGG